AUUGAACGCUGGCGGCAUGCCUUACACAUGCAAGUCGAACGGCAGCACGGGUGCUUGCCCCUGGUGGCGAGUGGCGAACGGGUGAGUAAUACAUCGGAACAUGUCCUGUAGUGGGGGAUAGCCCGGCGAAAGCCGGAUUAAUACCGCAUACGAUCUACGGAUGAAAGCGGGGGACCUUCGGGCCUCGCGCUAUAGGGUUGGCCGAUGGCUGAUUAGCUAGUUGGUGGGGUAAAGGCCUACCAAGGCGACGGUCAGUAGCUGGUCUGAGAGGACGACCAGCCACACUGGGACUGAGACACGGCCCAGACUCCUACGGGAGGCAGCAGUGGGGAAUUUUGGACAAUGGGCGAAAGCCUGAUCCAGCAAUGCCGCGUGUGUGAAGAAGGCCUUCGGGUUGUAAAGCACUUUUGUCCGGAAAGAAAUCCUUGGCCCUAAUACGGUCGGGGGAUGACGGUACCGGAAGAAUAAGCACCGGCUAACUACGUG
rnacentral:rRNA from 1 species